ACCAAUUAAAAUAAAUUAGUUUAUAUAAUAUCACAAGACCAACAAGCAGAAUUCAUAUUGGUUGGCCACUUGUGAAUAUCAGAGACUUGAUUGCUUUUUCUCUACUGCCUUACUGGCAUGUUCCUUAUGUUCAUCGGCCUUUACUUUGUGCUCUGUGCUAAAGGGAAGGAAGGUUGCUAUGCAGCAUAUGACAUAGAAAAUUGAAGAAUCCUGCAUAAUUGCUAGAAUAAGG